rnacentral:rRNA from 1 species
UACAGAGGGUGCAAGCGUUAAUCGGAAUUACUGGCGUAAAGCGCGCGUAGGUGGUUUGUUAAGUUGGAUGUGAAAUCCCCGGGCUUAACCUGGGAAUGGCAUUUGGGACUGCAAGGCUGGAGUGCGGCAGAGGAGACUGGAAUUCCUGGUGUAGCGGUGGAAUGCGCAGAUAUCAGGAGGAACACCGAUGGCGAAGGCAGGUCUCUGGGCCACUACUGACGCUGAGAAGCGAAAGCAUGGGGAGCGAACAGGAUAGAACCCUUGUAGUCCAAGACGAAU